AUUGAACGCUGGCGGCAUGCCUUACACAUGCAAGUCGAACGGCAGCACGGGUGCUUGCACCUGGUGGCGAGUGGCGAACGGGUGAGUAAUACAUCGGAACGUACCUUAUCGUGGGGAUAACGCAGCGAAAGCUGUGCUAAUACCGCAUACGCCCUGAGGGGGAAAGCGGGGGAUCGAAAGACCUCGCGCGAUUAGAGCGGCCGAUGCCUGAUUAGCUUGUUGGUGGGGUAAAAGCCCACCAGGGCGACGAUCAGUAGCUGGUCUGAGAGGACGAUCAGCCACACUGGGGCGGAGACACGGCCCAGACUCCUACGGGAGGCAGCAGUGGGGAAUUUUGGACAAUGGGGGCAACCCUGAUCCAGCAAUGCCGCGUGAGUGAAGAAGGCCUUCGGGUUGUAAAGCUCUUUUGUCAGGGAAGAAACACCGGCUCUAACACAGUCCGGGAAUGACGGUACCUGAAGAAUAAGCACCGGCUAACUACGUGCCAGCCGCCGCCGUAA
rnacentral:rRNA from 1 species